rnacentral:tRNA from 1 species
UCCCUGGAAGACUAGUGGUUAGGCCACGGCGCUCUCACCGCUGCGGCCCGGGUUUGAUUCCCAGCUGGGGAA